UUGACAAUCUAGAUAGCAUUUUCGCGUAGUGCCAGAGUAAAUAGGUUAGAUUCUGUUGUACAUACAUUCGCAACGUAUCAAUCUCCCCCGUUUUAUGGCACUGUUGCCAUAUUUAUUGUUUCAAUUAACAAUGUAAAAAUCAUUCGAGAAAAUUGAUUGUAUCCAAACAGUAAAUUUACCCUCCGUCCCCUGUAUUAUACAUGUAUAUACACCAAAAUAUUUCAGCAGGGUAGCAGUUACAAGCACGGCAUAAUACCGAUACAGAAUUUCGGUAAUAUUCAGCGUCUGCUUCGCGCUGAAAUCUUGGUUAUGAACUUUUGACAAGACGCCACCCCUUCCCUGUCCUCCAUAACAUCUUGCUACACCACCCCCUAUAGCCUAGCACCCGCUCAUAAAUCAAGACGAUGGGCGAUGCCGAUGUAGCCGCCUUGGGGGUGGCUUUGCCGUUAGGUGCGACGAGGGGUACCAACAGCUAUAACCAAUCUAUAUCGUAUUAUAUAUACAGACUGAUAAGCGUAUCAAACUAUGACGCAAUUCACGGUAUUGGUAUCGAUCGAACGCCAAUCAAUAUCCCAUGGGAUAUUUUGCAACGGCUACGAGUCCUCAUCCCCUUGUGGCGUUAUCAAAAUUAUCAAAACAGUCAGAGUGCUCGAAUGCGAUCUAACACGAAAUCAUCCGACUGUUAUUAUCAUCAAAGAACUCGAGCCGCUCACAUGCGGACCCAGUCGAUGAUUACCAAAUUGAGUAUCUACAACAUUUUAUCUUACGAUCUAUAAUCGUAUGUGGAAUCCAAUCGACAAUUAAUGGCUGUAUGCUUGAACUAGCAUCAAACGGGGAUCCCUCGAAUGGAUCUCAGAGCGGAAUUGCGGCGACAUGAAAGAUUUUACCGGCAACCUAGAUCCUUCAGGCAAAAGGUAUUCAUUGACGUGGUUCGACAAGAUGAUCUCGGUAUAGGACAGUUAAAAAAAUCCACAUAUAUAUAUAUAUAUACAUACGACCCUCUGCCAGUGUAGACGUUGAGUCUAAAAAGGGAAGCGAAGAAGAGAGCCGAUGCCGCCGUUCAUUAAUUAAGCGAAGCGUGAGAUUUCUAGCCUCCUUCCAUUUCAUCCCCCGCUCCCUGCCAUCCCUUUGUCGAGCCGCUCAACCCUUACGAUCUUAGAUGCCGCCAAGAUCUACGAGACCCAAGGAGGACGAGGAGU